rnacentral:rRNA from 1 species
AUGACCGGCUUGCUCGGGAAGUUGGUUGAGGGAUGGACGUCCCUCAGUGGCUCUGACAACGACGCGGUUGCGAGGCAGUUCACUUCAUUUGUCCCAGAACGUACAUAUCGGCCAACUGGUUGCCGUGGCCGGCAUGACUACAACAGUUCCCAAGAGCCUGAUGACACACAAGAUGAACUCGAUGGAGACGCUGGUCUCAGCAAGGAUGACGACGAUGACAUGGAGAAUGUGCAACAGGACAUCGAUGAUGAUGAACAUGCUGAAGUUGUGCAGGUGGUAACAAGGGCAAGGAUGCAAUAG